rnacentral:lncRNA from 1 species
GAGAAGUUGGUGAAUUGAUUGGUCAAAAGCCUUAAGGUCUUUUGUUAUCAAAGGGAGAAAACUCAACCCUAAACCACAAAUCCACCAUGUGAGGAGAGCUUCAACAUGCUAGUGAGGAAUCCACCCUAUAAUAAGCAUGGAAGACUUAUAGUCCAUCACUAAGGAUGUAGGUGAGUAUUAUAUCAACCUCUAGGAUAACUCAAACCUAAUAGCUAAUGUUUAUGAAAAGCUU